UGGGGAAUUUUCCGCAAUGGGCGAAAGCCUGACGGAGCAAUACCGCGUGAGGGAUGAAGGCCUAUGGGUUGUAAACCUCUUUUUUCAGGGAGGAACAAAAUGACGUGUACCUGAAGAAUAAGCAUCGGCUAACUCCGUGCCAGCAGCCGCGGUAAGACGGGGGAUGCAAGUGUUAUCCGGAAUCACUGGGCGUAAAGCGUCUGUAGGUGGUUAAGUAAGUCAACUUGUUAAAUCUUGAGGCUUAACCUCAAAAUCGCAGUCGAAACUACUUGACUAGAGUAUAGUAGGGGUAAAGGGAAUGUCCAGUGGAGCGGUGAAAUGCGUAGAUAUUGGAAGGAACACCGAUGGCGAAGGCACUUUACUGGGCUAUUACUAACACUGAGAGACGAAAGCUAGGGUAGCAAAUGGG
rnacentral:rRNA from 1 species